rnacentral:rRNA from 1 species
UACAGAGGGUGCAAGCGUUAAUCGGAAUUACUGGGCGUAAAGCGUGCGUAGGCGGUUAUGUAAGUCAGAUGUGAAAGCCCCGGGCUCAACCUGGGAAUUGCAUUUGAGACUGCAUAGCUAGGGUGCGGAAGAGGGAAGCGGAAUUUCCGGUGUAGCGGUGAAAUGCGUAGAUAUCGGAAGGAACACCAGUGGCGAAAGCGGCUUCCUGGUCCAGCACCGACGUUCAGGCACGAAAGCGUGGGGAGCAAACAGG